GCUACAUAACUGGAUAGCUCAGUUGGUUAGAACGUGGUGCUGAUAACCCCAAAGUCGUGGGUUCAAUCUUCAUAUGGGACAGCU